rnacentral:rRNA from 1 species
UACGAAGGGGGCUAGCGUUGCUCGGAAUCACUGGGCGUAAAGGGUGCGUAGGCGGGUCUUUAAGUCAGGGGGGAAAUCCUGGAGCUCAACUCCAGAACUGCCUUUGAUACUGAAGAUCUUGAGUUCGGGAGAGGUGAGUGGAACUGCGAGUGUAGAGGUGAAAUUCGUAGAUAUUCGCAAGAACACCAGUGGCGAAGGCGGCUCGCUGGCCCGAUACUGACGCUGAGGCACGAAAGCGUGGGGAGCAAACAGG